rnacentral:rRNA from 1 species
AUUGAACGCUGGCGGCAGGCCUAACACAUGCAAGUCGAGCGGAUGAAGGGAGCUUGCUCCUGGAUUCAGCGGCGGACGGGUGAGUAAUGCCUAGGAAUCUGCCUGGUAGUGGGGGAUAACGUCCGGAAACGGGCGCUAAUACCGCAUCCGUCCUGAGGGAGAAAGUGGGGGAUCUUCGGACCUCACGCUAUCAGAUGAGCCUAGGCCGGAUUGGCUAGUUGGUGGGGUAAAGGCCUACCAAGGCGACGAUCCGUAACUGGUCUGAGAGGAUGAUCAGUCACACUGGAACUGAGACACGUUCCAGACUCCUACGGGAGGCAGCAGUGGGGAAUAUUGGACAAUGGGCGAAAGCCUGAUCCAGCCAUGCCGCGUGUGUGAAGAAGGUCUUCGGAUUGUAAAGCACUUUAAGUUGGGAGGAAGGGCAGUAAGUUAAUACCUGGCUGUUUUGACGUUACCAACAGAAUAAGCACCGGCUAACUUCGUG